rnacentral:sRNA from 1 species
UCAUCAUUUGCAACAUCUGAGUGAAAAA